rnacentral:lncRNA from 10 species
AUAUCCCAAACCCUGUUUCCUCUAUUUUUAACAUCUUACAUUACUAUGGUGCAUUUGUUAUAAUUAACAAACCAAUAUUGAGACAUUGUCUUUAACUAAAGCCCAUACUUUAUUCCCAUUUUCUUCAUUUUUACCUGAUAUCCUUUUUUUCUGUUCCAGGAUGCCAUCUAGAAUACUAUAUCACUUUUAGUUGGUAAGCUGUCUUAGGCUUUUCUUGGCUGUGAUCUUAACUGGAAUUACACUGAAUAAAUGGAUCAAUCUGAGGAGAAUUGCCACUUUCACAAUACUGAGUCUUCUGAUACGUGAACAUGACUUGUUGAAAAUCCAUUGAGCAUAAAAGUGAGAGUUUACUUCUGGAUUCCCAAUUCUAUUCCAUUGAUUUAUAUAUCUAUCCUUAUGGUAGGACCACCCUGUCUUGAUUACUAUUGCUUUGUGGUAAGUUUUGAAGUUAGAAAGUGUAAGAACUCCAUUUGUUAUUGUUUUUCAAGAUUGUUUUGUCUGUUUUGGGUCAUUAUAAUUUAGGAUCACUUUGUUAUUAUCUGCAAAGAAGCCAGGGGAGAUUUUGAUAGUGAUUGCCUUAAGUCUGUAAAUCAAUUAGGGAAUAUUGCCAUCUGAACAAUGUUAAGUCUUUCAAUCAAUGAACAUUGAAUUUAUUUCCAUUUAUUUAGGUUGUCUUUAGUUUCUUUUGACAACAUUUUGUACUUUUCCAUAUACAAGUCUGGCAUUUGUUUUGUUAAAUUUAUUCCCAAGAUUGUUUUUCUUUUUGAUACCAUUGUAAAUGGAAUCAUUUUCUUAAGUUCAUUUCAGAUUGUUAAUUUCUACUAUAAAGAAAUACAAUUGAUUUUGUAUAUUGAUAUUACAUCUUGCUACAUUGUACUUGUGUAUUAUUUCUCAUAGUUUAAAUAAUUAUUGUUAAUUGACAAUUUAUAAUUGUAUAUAUUUAU